GACGAACGCUGGCGGCGUGCCUAAUACAUGCAAGUCGAACGAAGCUGUUUUAACUGGUGCUUGCACCGACUUAAACAACUGAGUGGCGAACGGGUGAGUAACACGUGGGUAACCUGCCCCAAAGCGGGGGAUAACAUUUGGAAACAGAUGCUAAUACCGCAUAAUCACAGAAACCACAUGGUUUCUGUGUCAAAGAUGGUUUCGGCUAUCACUUUGGGAUGGACCCGCGGCGUAUUAGCUAGUUGGUAAGGUAAUGGCUUACCAAGGCAAUGGUACGUAGCCGAACUGAGAGGUUGAUCGGCCACGUUGGGACUGAGACACGGCCCAAACUCCUACGGGAGGCAGCAGUAGGGAAUCUUCCACAAUGGACGAAAGUCUGAUGGAGCAACGCCGCGUGAGUGAAGAAGGUUUUCGGAUCGUAAAACUCUGUUGUCAGAGAAGAACGUGUGCGAGAGUAACUGUUCGUGCAGUGACGGUAUCUGGCCAGAAAGCCACGGCUAACUACGUGCCAGCCGCCGCCGUAA
rnacentral:rRNA from 1 species